CAGCUGAAGGUUUGAGACUCAGGAUGGGGUCAUGGCUGAGACUAUGAGGGCUGCUCGUGCAUGACCCUGCCUGCUGGCCUCCAUGGGCCCACUAUCUGAAUGUGGUUACCCUUCUCCCCAGGACCAGGUGCCACCUCCUCUGGGAAGCUUUCCCUGCCCGUCCACAGGGUAUGCCUCCUUGUUCCUCUCCUGCCAUCGGUUUACGUGCCUGUCUCCAUCAACAGACCAGGAGCUCCUGAGGACAGGGACUGAGUCUGCCUGAUUCAUCUCUGCAUUCCUAGCACUUACCUUGGUGCUUAGUGAAAGCUCGAACCUGCCUGGGUUCCCACCUUGUCUCUGCUACCCCCAGCUCUGUGAACUCAGAGUCAUUUUUCUCUCCCCGAGUGGCACCGGGCUCAGCAGACACUCUGGCCAUGAAGGCAUCUUCUGACUCAAGCAGGUCUAGAUGUCUACCCCCAAGGAAUCCCAGAACAG
rnacentral:lncRNA from 1 species